UACGUAGGGUGCAAGCGUUGUCCGGAAUUAUUGGGUGUAAGGAGCUCGUAGGCGGUUUGUCGCGUCUGCUGUGAAAGUCCGGGGCUCAACUCCGGAUCUGCGGUGGGUACGAGCAAACUAGAGUGUUGCAGGGGAGACUGGAAUUCUCGGUGUAGCGGUGAAAUGCGUAGAUAUCGAGAGGAACACCUGCGGCGAAGGCGGGUUGCUGGGCUGACACUGACGCUGAAGCGCGAAAGCUAGGGGAGCGAACGGG
rnacentral:rRNA from 1 species